GCAUAAUGAUGAUGAAUUUAUUUAUUAAACCGACAAAUUCAUGAAUGGAUAAAAACCUCCUACUCAUUCUGA
rfam:Spinacia oleracea cultivar SynViroflay scaffold39361.con0005.1, whole genome shotgun sequence.